GACUCAGGGAGGUAGUGACAAGAAAUAACAACACUGGAAAUUUUAUUUCUAGUGAUUGGAAUGAUGGGAAUCCAAACCCCUUUCAGAGUAACAAUUGGAGGGCAAGUCUGGUGCCAGCAGCCGCGGUAAUUCCAGCUCCAAUAGCGUAUAUUAAAGUUGUUGCAGUUAAAAAGCUCGUAGUUGGAUUUCUGCUGGAAGGACAAUCAAUCCGCCCUUUUUGAAAGGGUGUGAAUUUGUUGUUUUCUGGCAUAUUCUUUUCUUUUCAUACUUCUACACCAACAGUAAUGUUGACGUGUAGAUGGGAGAAGAAAACUGUUACUUUGAGAAAAUUAGAGUGUUUCAAGCAGGCUUAUUGCCUUGAAUACUGCAGCAUGGAAUAACAUUAUAGGAUUUUGGUUCUAUUUUGUUGGUUUUUAGGACUGAAAUAAUGAUUAAUAGGGACAGUUGGGGGCAUUCGUAUUUAACUGUCAGAGGUGAAAUUCUUAGAUUUGUUAAAGACGAACUACUGCGAAAGCAUUUGCCAAAGAUGUUUUCAUUAAUCAAGAACGAAAGU
rnacentral:rRNA from 1 species